AAGUACUCUCUCCCCCUGCUUUCCCUCUCCUCUGUUGCUGCAGGUGAAGUCUUCUUAUGAAGUGGAUUGGCUCCUUCAUUUUUCAGUACAUGAUGUCAGUCUCAGUCAAUAGCAGGCCUUUUAUUCCUCUGAAGAUACUCAUCACUGUGGGCAAACUAAUGACACAUGUUAAGGAGUUCAGUCUUAUGGAAAUCAUCUAAAGGUUUGGAAAUUAGUCACUGAUGAUCUCUACCAAGAAGACAGACUAUGUCAUCCUCUCAUUUGCCUUCUGAACAGCAACAAUGAAAAUUCUUUCCAAAAUCAUAGCGGGGUUUUCAAUAUCCACAGAGAAAAAUCUCUAUGGAAAGAAUAAUUCAAAGUCUCUAUGGAUUACUGGUGGAUGUUUGGGUAGCAACAUCAUGAUCAACCUAUUGUUUUACCUCCAACACAGAUUAACCCACAUUUUCAAGGAUGAAAAUUAACCACUUAAGAAAAAACUACUAUAGAUAAGCAAUCAAAAGUCUUGGAGAAGGCUAGGUGGAAGAUCAUUAAGCUAAUGCUGUUAAGCUGUAGUGGAUCAUCAUAAAUCACACAAAGGAAAAUAAAAGGGAAAUUUUGAAAAUGACAAUGGUAUCUUCACUGUUAGCAACAUGGAGACAUAGCUAAUGGAUACCGAAAAUAGGAAGCAUUUGUAUUCACUAUUUAAAAAGUGUGCAUAAACAUGUAUAUAUAAUCAACAAUGUGGAAAACAAUAAUCAUCAUGAUUGAUUAUUAUUAAAGGGUUGUUUAAAUAAAUUAUUGUACAUCAACACAACAGAAUACUGUGCAACAAAAGGUGAUGAUAUAGUCCUGUUUAUCUGAUCCUACCCAAUAAUGAAUGCUAAUGCAUCCUAGUAAUACAUAUAGCAAUGUGACAUGUAUGUUAUAUAGAUAUUGAAAGUGAGUUCCAGAUAUGAUAAAGGAAAAUCAAGAUACAGAGAAAGCAAAUUAUAGGCUUCCAUGUGCAUAUGGAUAUGUACGUAUUUUAUUUCAAUAUGUAAAAAAAGGGUCAAAGACAUAACUGCUCACUUAAAAGUAAACUUCAUUUCACUUUUGCUUCUUUUGACAAAUGUUAACAAAAGCAUACCAAUGUUAAACCAGAAGAUAGUUAAUAUAAAACAAUGAUUGAAAGAUUUGUAUGACAUAAUUUUUAUAUUCUAGUCAUGAAAAUCAUAAUUGCCAUAAGAACAGCUUACUAUAAUGGCUCAUGUGGUAUAAAACUGAAAAAAGGCCAUUUCAUAUUGCAAGCUAUGAAUGAAUUCAUUUGAGAUAAACAGCCAAACAGUACUGCUGGCAGGAUUGCCAGAUACAAA
rnacentral:lncRNA from 1 species